GAUGUAGGUGGCUUUGUAAGUCGGGUGUGAAAGCCCAGGGCUCAACCCUGGAAGUGCAUUCGAUACUGCGAAGCUUGAGUGCUAGAGAGGUUACUAGAAUACCUGGUGUAGUGGUGAAAUACGUAGAUAUCAGGUGGAAUACCGGAGGCGAAGGCGGGUAACCAGCUAGACACUGACACUCAGAUCCGAAAGUGUGGGGAUCAAACA
rnacentral:rRNA from 1 species